GGACUACCGGGGUAUCUAAUCCUGUUCGCUCCCCACGCUUUCGCUCCUCAGCGUCAGUGCCGGCCCAGACCACCGCCUUCGCUACUGGUGUUCCUCCAGAUAUCUGCGCAUUUCACCGCUACACCUGGAAUUCCGUGGUCCCCUACCGGACUCAAGUCAUGGCAGUAUCAGAUGGCAGCCCCAGGUUGAGCCUGGGGAUUUCACACCUGACUUACCAAACCGCCUACGAGCUCUUUACGCCCAAUAAAUCCGGACAACGCUUGCACCCUACGUAUUACCGCGGCUGCUGGCAC
rnacentral:rRNA from 1 species